ACUUCAAUGGUUAAGGUCGCACUUGCACCGGUAUUGGUGGUGUAAGUGAUCACCGGAACGCUGUCGUUCCAGUUGUCAUUUGGGGUG
rnacentral:tRNA from 1 species